AUACUUACCUGGAUGGGGUCAAUGAGCGAUCAUAAAUGCCCAUGGCCUAGACUAAUGACCUCCAUUGCACUUAGGAGGAGUAUUAGUAUAAGGUCUUCUUAAGUAGGAGAGCCUUUAAAAAAUUUCAAGAAAAUAUUCAUGUUUGCAAUAC